UAUGGAGCUUAAUUUUAAGAUAAAAGCAAAUUUAUUUUUAAAAGUUACUUAUUUUAAAAAAUUUUGUUGGGGCGACAGAGAGAUGAAAAAACCACUCUUUUUAUUAAACUUAUAUUAAAGGAGAAUUGAUCCCUAAAGAAGGAUUAAAAGACUAAGUUACCCUA
rnacentral:rRNA from 1 species